GGUGUUGUAGCUCAGUGGUUAGAGCAUCAGCCUUGCAUGCAGAAGGUCCCAGGUUCAAUCCCUGGCAUUUCCG